rnacentral:rRNA from 1 species
AGCAACCUGCCCCUGACUCUGGGAUAAGCGCUGGAAACGGCGUCUAAUACUGGAUAUGUGACGUGACCGCAUGGUCUGCGUCUGGAAAGAAUUUCGGUUGGGGAUGGGCUCGCGGCCUAUCAGCUUGUUGGUGAGGUAAUGGCUCACCAAGGCGUCGACGGGUAGCCGGCCUGAGAGGGUGACCGGCCACACUGGGACUGAGACACGGCCCAGACUCCUACGGGAGGCAGCAGUGGGGAAUAUUGCACAAUGGGCGGAAGCCUGAUGCAGCAACGCCGCGUGAGGGAUGACGGCCUUCGGGUUGUAAACCUCUUUUAGCAGGGAAGAAGCGAAAGUGACGGUACCUGCAGAAAAAGCGCCGGCUAACUACGUGCCAGCAGCCGCGGUAAUACGUAGGGCGCAAGCGUUAUCCGGAAUUAUUGGGCGUAAAGAGCUCGUAGGCGGUUUGUCGCGUCUGCUGUGAAAUCCGGAGGCUCAACCUCCGGCCUGCAGUGGGUACGGGCAGACUAGAGUGCGGUAGGGGAGAUUGGAAUUCCUGGUGUAGCGGUGGAAUGCGCAGAUAUCAGGAGGAACACCGAUGGCGAAGGCAGAUCUCUGGGCCGUAACUGACGCUGAGGAGCGAAAGGGUGGGGAGCAAACAGGCUUAGAUACCCUGGUAGUCCACCCCGUAAACGUUGGGAACUAGUUGUGGGGUCCAUUCCACGGAUUCCGUGACGCAGCUAACGCAUUAAGUUCCCCGCCUGGGGAGUACGGCCGCAAGGCUAAAACUCAAAGGAAUUGACGGGGACCCGCACAAGCGGCGGAGCAUGCGGAUUAAUUCGAUGCAACGCGAAGAACCUUACCAAGGCUUGACAUAUACGAGAACGGGCCAGAAAUGGUCAACUCUUUGGACACUCGUAAACAGGUGGUGCAUGGUUGUCGUCAGCUCGUGUCGUGAGAUGUUGGGUUAAGUCCCGCAACGAGCGCAACCCUCGUUCUAUGUUGCCAGCACGUAAUGGUGGGAACUCAUGGGAUACUGCCGGGGUCAACUCGGAGGAAGGUGGGGAUGACGUCAAAUCAUCAUGCCCCUUAUGUCUUGGGCUUCACGCAUGCUACAAUGGCCGGUACAAAGGGCUGCAAUACCGCGAGGUGGAGCGAAUCCCAAAAAGCCGGUCCCAGUUCGGAUUGAGGUCUGCAACUCGACCUCAUGAAGUCGGAGUCGCUAGUAAUCGCAGAUCAGCAACGCUGCGGUGAAUACGUUCCCGGGUCUUGUACACACCGCCCGUCAAGUCAUGAAAGUCGGUAACACCUG